AUGUCAAUGUGUCUGUCCUUCACUCCUCCAUUGUCUGCCGCCGCUGCUGCUGCUGCUGCCGCUGCCGCUGCACGAAUUGCCGCAGCCCCCAGCCUUGCGCGUCGUCGCUACCUCCUCGGACAGGUGAGAAGCAGCCCAGAAAUUUUAUGAAUAAGCAUCAGAAGCCAGUGCUAACAGGCCAGCGGUUCAAAACUCGGAAAAGGGAUGAAAAAGAGAAAUUCGAACCCACAGUCUUCAGGGAUACACUUGUCCAGGGGCUUAAUGAGGCUGGUGAUGACCUUGAAGCUGUAGCCAAAUUUCUGGACUCUACAGGCUCAAGAUUAGAUUAUCGUCGCUAUGCAGACACACUCUUCGAUAUCCUGGUGGCUGGCAGUAUGCUUGCCCCUGGAGGAACGCGCAUAGAUGAUGGUGACAAGACCAAGAUGACCAACCACUGUGUGUUUUCAGCAAAUGAAGAUCAUGAAACCAUCCGAAACUAUGCUCAGGUCUUCAAUAAACUCAUCAGGAGAUAUAAGUAUUUGGAGAAGGCAUUUGAAGAUGAAAUGAAAAAGGCAUUGCGGCCUCAUUUGCUGUCAAGCUUUUCAAAGCAUGGAUGGCAGAAAAAGAUGCCAACUCUGUUACCUCGUCUUUGAGAAAAGCCAACUUAGACAAGAGGCUGCUUGUGGUGCUUUAUGUCAAGGAAGAAAUGAAGAGGAAUGAUCUUCCAGAAACAGCAGUGAUUGGUCUUCUGUGGACCUGUAUAAUGAACGCUGUUGAGUGGAACAAGAAGGAAGAACUUGUUGCAGAGCAGGCUC
rnacentral:sRNA from 1 species